UAAUGUGAAUUGCAGAAUUCAGUGAAUCAUCGAAUCUUUGAACGCACCUUGCGCACCUUGGUAUUCCGAGGAGCAUGCCUGUUUGAGUGUCAUGAAAUUCUCAACCUCAUGGGUUUUUUCUACGAAAGAACCCAUAAGGCUUGGAUUUGUGGGAGCUGCUGGCUUCUUAGAAGUUGGCUCUUCUUAAAUACAUUAGCAAGAUCAUCACUGAUCAUCUUUGAUAUGAUAAUUAUCUAUGUCAUUGGUGAACAAGCUUCCUGAAUAGGGGAGAGGAAGGUCUUGCUUCUAACAGUCUCCUUUGGUGAGACAGUAUUCCUGACCAUUUGACCUCAAAUCAGGUAGGACUACCCGCUGAACUUAAGCAUAUCAAUAAGCGGAGGAAAAGAAACUAACAAGGAUUCCCCUAGUAACUGCGAGUGAAGCGGGAAAAGCUCAAAUUUAAAAUCUGGUAGUCUUUGGCUAUCCGAGUUGUAAUCUAGAGAAGCGUUAU
rnacentral:rRNA from 1 species